CAGUAGCCACGGUAAUACGUAGGUGGCAAGCGUUGUCCGGAAUUAUUGGGCGUAAAGGGCUCGCAGGCGGUUUCUUAAGUCUGAUGUGAAAGCCCCCGGCUCAACCGGGGAGGGUCAUUGGAAACUGGGAAACUUGAGUGCAGAAGAGGAGAGUGGAAUUCCACGUGUAGCGGUGAAAUGCGUAGAGAUGUGGAGGAACACCAGUGGCGAAGGCGGCUCUCUGGUCUGUAACUGACGCUGAGGAGCGAAAGCGUGGGGAGCGAACAGGAUUAGAUACCCCCGUAGUCCCUGUCUCUUAUAU
rnacentral:rRNA from 1 species